rnacentral:rRNA from 1 species
UACGAAGGGGCGGAGCGUUAUUCGGAAUCACUGGGCGGUAAAGACGUGCGUAGGCUGUUCUGCAAGUCAGAAGUGAAAGCCCAAGGCUCAACCUUGGAAGCGCUUUUGAAACUGCAGGACUAGAAUUUGGGAGAGGAUAGCGGAACUGUCAGUGUAGCAGUGAAAUGCGUAGAUAUUGACAGGAACACCAGUGGCGCAAGCGGCUAUCUGGACCAACAUUGACGCUGAGGCACG